rnacentral:lncRNA from 1 species
AAGUUUGUGGGGAUAACGUGGCAGCAGCAAGCACAAGAACGGGUUGAUUGGAGGAACACACGAGAGGCCUUUGCCCUGCAGUCGGCGUAGACAGGCUGAUGUUGAUGAUGAUG